ACACUCCUGCGGGAGGCAGCAGUGGGGAAUAUUGGACAGUGGGCGCAAGCCUGAUCCAGCCAUGCCGCGUGAGUGAUGAAGGCCCUAGGGUUGUAAAGCUCUUUCACCGGUGAAGAUAAUGACGGUAACCGGAGAAGAAGCCCCGGCUAACUUCGUGCCAGCAGCCGCGGUAAUACGAAGGGGGCUAGCGUUGUUCGGAUUUACUGGGCGUAAAGCGCACGUAGGCGGACUAUUAAGUCAGGGGUGAAAUCCCGGGGCUCAACCCCGGAACUGCCUGUGAUACUGGUAGUCUUGAGUUCGAGAGAGGUGAGUGGAAUUCCGAGUGUAGAGGUGAAAUUCGUAGAUAUUCGGAGGAACACCAGUGGCGAAGGCGGCUCACUGGCUCGAUACUGACGCUGAGGUGCGAAAGCGUGGGGAGCAAACAGGAUUAGAAACCCGAGUAGUCCCAUG
rnacentral:rRNA from 1 species